GGGAAUAUUGGACAAUGGGCGAAAGCCUGAUCCAGCCAUGCCGCGUGUGUGAAGAAGGUCUUCGGAUUGUAAAGCACUUUAAGUUGGGAGGAAGGGCAGUAAGCUAAUACCUUGCUGUUUUGACGUUACCGACAGAAUAAGCACCGGCUAACUUCGUGCUAGCAGCCGCGGUAAUACGAAGGGUGCAAGCGUUAAUCGGAAUUACUGGGCGUAAAGCGCGCGUAGGUGGUUUGAUAAGUUGGAUAUGAAAGCCCCGGGCUCAACCUGGGAAUUGCAUCCAAAACUGUCUGACUAGAGUAUGGCAGAGGGUGGUGGAAUUUCCUGUGUAGCGGUGAAAUGCGUAGAUAUAGGAAGGAACACCAGUGGCGAAGGCGACCACCUGGGCUAAUACUGACACUGAGGUGCGAAAGCGUGGGGAGCAAAC
rnacentral:rRNA from 1 species